ensembl:rRNA 5S_rRNA 5S ribosomal RNA
GUCUACGGCCAUACCACCCUGAACGCGCCCGAUCUCGUCUGAUCUCGGAAGCUAAGCAGGGUCGGGCCUGGUUAGUACUUGGAUGGGAGUUACUGAGAGAGGAAGAAAGGAAAAGAUC